rnacentral:rRNA from 1 species
CGUAGGGACCAAGCGUUGUUCGGGAUUUACUGGGCGUAAAGGGCGCGUAGGCGGCUUGACAAGUCACUUGUGAAAUCUCCGGGCUUAACUCGGAACGGCCAAGUGAAACUGUCAUGCUAGAGUGCAGAAGGGGCAAUCGGAAUUCUUGGUGUAGCGGUGAAAUGCGUAGAUAUCAAGAGGAACACCUGAGGUGAAGACGGGUUGCUGGGCUGACACUGACGCUGAGGCGCGAAAGCCAGGGGAGCAAACGGGAUUAGAUACCCCGGUAGUCCUGGCCCUAAACGAUGAAUACUUGGUGUCUGGAGUAAAUAGUGCUCCGGGUGCCGUCGCUAACGUUUUUAGUAUUCCGCCUGGGGAGUACGCUCGCAAGAGUG